GCAUGCAUAAUCAUUGAUGUGUAUAACAAAGGAAAAAAGGAAAUCACGAGACUUCAGGUAGCCAAUGACGAUGUCUAAAGUCUAGUUAAUUCCACGAAUGACUGAAAAUUUUAUUGGUGCUCAACCUUUUGUUACAGAGAUGCUUCUUCAGUUGAAGGACGUUCAUUAGAUUAUCACCGUGUUUUUCGACUUCGCAAAACAUCAAAUUCAUGGAAAAUAAGAAAAGAUGGUUUGGGAUACAAGACUGUAUUGAAAAUAGGGAAACCAUGCGGAAUUACAGCAGAAUUCCUGCUUGAAGAGAAAUAAAUUCACCUGAACUACUGUUGUAAGAAAUAACAGGUACUUCAAAAACCUGCACAGAGAUGUCAUGUAUCUAACAUGCCAUAUUCAUUUAAGAAUAUAUAAAAAUUACAGCCAAUAAAUCGCGAUAUUUUUAGAGAAUUAACAUUAAGUAACAGAUUUUUAGGCUGUAAAACAGAAAUGAAAUACAAGUAUAAAAAUUAUCAUUCUUGGCUUAUGCAGGCAACUCUUCUUUGCAUCAAAUUUCCAGAGGUGCAAGGAGGAGCCUUAUAAUUAAGCCAUGUAACAGUACUAAAUUUUUAAAAACUUUCGAGAAAAACUACCGAAUAAAAAUUUACAUUUAAAACUUUAAAUUUACAAAAUAGAUUAUACUCAUAUUUUAAAAAGUGACAACAGUAUUUGCAUAGGCAUACGUGUAAAAACUUGUAAAUUAACUAAGCUAAGCCCAACAGCAGACUUGAUAUUUCUCAAAGAAUAAAACAAGUACAUCAAUCGGUGAAACUAAAAAUACCUGACCAGUCUAAAAAUUUUAGCAAAAAUCAACAACAUAGAGAAACAGUAAAAAAAAGUUCAUGUUAUCGGGGGAGAGUGCUAAAGUUCUACCCUUUUGGGAUAUCCAAAUUUGCAAUGGAAUUGACGUCACACAUGACAGUUACGACGAAAAUUGUCGGCCAAUCAAACGUGUGGAUGCCUCACAUAUAAAUGCAUAGUGUCUCGCAUAAUCAUCUAAAAAAACAUCUCAGAACAUGGAAACAUGGAAAACGAGAACAUGGAAAACGAGAACAUGGAAAACGGAACAUGGAAAACGAGAAGGAGCACACAAGACACUAUUUGUUAUACAAGUUCGAUAAAAAGAGUACGGCAGCCGCAGCAUGUCGCAAUGUUUGUCAAGUUUAUGGGGAAGUCGCUGUAGACGAAAGCACAUGUUGUCGAUGGUUUCGCAAAUUUGUGGAAGGAGACAGAAGCUGCCAAGAUCAGGCUAGGAGUGGACGGCCAUCACACGUUGGAGAAGACGAUAUUGACCAAGCCAUAAGGAACAACCCGAACCCCAACCGUGCAAGAAUUAGCGAAGACCUUCAACGUACACCGGACAAUGGUCGAGAGACGGCUGGUUACGUUGGGUUCCACAUAACCAGACAGCUAAUCAACGGGAUGAGCGAAUUGCCACAUACAUUUCCUUGCUUUCCCGGUACAAAAAAAUCCAUUCUUGACACGGAUUGUGACAGGAGAUGAGAAGUGGGUUAUGUACCGUAACAUAUCCUGACUUGGCACCAAGUGACUAUCACUUAUUUCGUGCGUUGAACAAUUGCUUCAGUCAGAAUAUCUUUGAUGAUCUUGAUGCUGUGAAAACUGCCAUCCAAGACUUUUUUGAUUCGAAACGCCGGAAUUUUACCGCAGUAGAAUUCAUCUCCUACCAGAAAGAUGGCAAGAGGUCAUAGAUAACAAAGGGGAUUAUGCACAAUAAUAGGUACUGUUAAUUUUAAAAGCACUAAAUAUAUAUAACUACAUUAAAACAUUUAGUGUUACAAAGUUACAGAUAAUAUUAUUGCACCAAAACUAGAGGACUAUUUGCUGUAUAGACAUGAACUCAAAUAAAGAUAUCUGCCAAAAGGAAAAUUCACCGUUAAAACUAUUUAGAUGAAAUGCCGUUUAUAAAACAGCUAUGAACAAAAUCAUGGAAAUACACAGAAAUUUGCUAGGCAUAAAAAAAUUAAUACUUGGGUUAAUCGAGAUAAAACAAAAUAUGCUGACUUUACUUGAUUUUUCAAAUGAAUAAAAUCAGCUUUCCAGAAUGUUAACAAGAUUGCAACGUCACAUUUAGAAUCAAGGUCUGAGAGGUUGAGUUUAGAUUUUUCAAUCAUUUAGCAUAUAUAAAUUGUUACUCAAAAUAUUUUAUUGUCUUACAAUCUUUGGUCUGAACAUUAUCCUAAUGACUGGAAAGUUAUGAAAGCAAACACUAAAAUAAGCUAUUAUACAAAUCUAGCUAAUAAAUGUUGUUUAAACACAGCUCUCGUCAGUAGGUCCAAACAGCCACAUCUAACGUGAGGCUAAGCUCAGCUAAAUGUAUGUCUAAAUCCUUGGUGGUUAUUUACCUUAACUGAAUAUGAUAAUUUCUGACAUAUGUGGUACCUUCUCAAACAAGUGAAUCAUGCCAGUUGGGCACGCGUUGCGAUCAUCGCCUAGGGAUUUUCCUGCAACUAGUGUUUAAAGCUCUAAAAAUCAUUGGCUCACACUGGCUCUUUGAAGCAACUCGUAUGCUGGUAGGCAUAUAUGAAGAUGACUGUGCCUAUCUUAAUGCAAUCUAUAACGCUGUAUUCACCUUUUAGAAAUGAUCAGCUCUUGAGCAGCUAACAUCUGCUAUCCUCGGAAUUGAAAAUUUCCGAAAACCAAAAUUUUAGCCUUUUUACAUCAAAAACAUAUUUUAUUAGAAGAAUCAUGUUACAAGAUUAUCCAUUUGAAACAACCCGUCAAGUGUGCUUUUUAGAAAUAAACAACUAAACAAUGGAAUUCUGAAUAACUGAAAAAACUUCGGCAUUGUUUAAAUCACUGUUGUUAUAAUUAUUUACAAAUAAAUAUAUUUCAUAGGAGGAGGGAGAAAGAAACAGGAAAACUCUGACCUUAAUUUCAUAUAAACAUAUUGUAGCUAGUUUUAUUGAAGAUUCUAAUUUUAGAAAACGUGAAUUUUCUAUACAUUUAAAGCACACAAGUAAAGAUAAAAGAAGAAAAAGAAAUCUUCGACAUCAGAAUAACAAAUUAAAGUGAAAGAGAUAUUUCCGUAUUACUUCGUAUGUUUUAUUUUAUACGGUUUCCUCCAGCUAUCGCAAAUCUAAGCGGAUUAUUCCAGUAAAGAAUCUAAAGUAAACAAAACUGCAGAAACAAUUAACAAAGUUGGUUACAAAAACUAACUGUUAAAAGAUGAUAUCAAUUGAUGAUCAAGUGCUUCAAUACUAUAAAAGUAAUCUACACCAAAUGUUUUCAUAGGUUAAUAUGAAUUUUAAUUAUAAAAACUGAGCAUUAAUAUACUAAACACCUUAAAUAUUCAAUCAUGGAUUGCAUAUCCCUGUUAUUUACAAAUCUAAUACUAUAAUGUUGUUUGUUUUAAGUUGCUUUUCAAUUUAAAGCACUGUAAAUAUAGAAUAAAAGAGGGGAGGAGAAUGAAAGCAAAUACAAGUGGGAAGAAACUAUACGACUAAAAGCAAGGAAAAUAAAAGCCUUGAGAAACAGAGUUGUUAGUCCGAUAGAUUUGGAGAUAAAUUCAAAUGGGAAAUAAAAAAGCUUUUAGCUAAAUUAUCAUUAUUCUUUGUGAAAAUUAGCGACAAACGAAAUUAUCAAUAUUUUGACCAUUGUUUUUUUGAAAAUUAGCGACAAAAGAAAUUAUCAAAAUUUUGAGAAUUAAUAAAGAAUUAGGAUUGUGAUGAAAUGACAGAGUUUUUAUUAAAUUCCAAUAUAUUUAAAUUUUUUUAAUUAAAAAAAAUGUCGCUCAAAAAGUAUGCACAUUUCAAAAUUCAAAAGAUACAAUGCAUUAUUACUGUAGAGGUUGAAGACAUUUGAUUUCAACAAUAUUAUUUAUUACUUGAUGACUAUGUUUGUUUUAUCACAUUAACUUUAUAGUAGAAUUGUAGUAUUUGUAUUCUAAUAAGAAAAUAAAUUAUUUUUUAAACAAUA